GUCUGCUUCUUGCUUUCUUCUUGAGACAUUUCUCCACAAUGUUGGUCGGGUUGUUUCAUCUAAGAGCAUCAUUAUCUGUGUUAGCAGUUCCCCAGAUCUUUGCUCUUCGAGGUCUGCAGAUUAGUGCCAGUCCACGAAGAAUUCGUGAAGAGUUCAUUGGCCGUUUGGGAGGAGACAAGGUUAUCGUGCACGCUCCCCUUCAAGAGACGGCACCAGCAGGUUGGGAGAUGCCAUUUGGCUCUUGAAAUAAUCCCUAAAAAGCUCACUGAAUGCCCUCCUAUACCAAAGGUUUAGGAGAAACCAGCAAGGAAUGAAAUGGCUAGCUUAAGAAAAUGAAGAGGGUGCUUCCGACUGUGCAAACCUCACAGACAUUUUUUCAACAACACUGACAGAAGAGGCAUCUAGUAAGAUGGGACAUGAAGCCUGGACUCUCUGUAGCCUCACCUGCAUCAUCUCAAAUCGCUGCGUCUCCGGCGCAGCCAAUCGCCACUCAAUAAUCCUUUUACAUGGCUCAUCAGCCAAGGAUUCACCUGCUUCCCGUUCGAGCUUCCACCACCAGUGUACGGAUCCUGGGGUGGGGGAAGACGACCCUAAUCCUCUCCCCCGAGCUGUUCAUCCAAACUUGGUUCGAUUCUCAGCAUAAACGUCUUCUGCCGGGUUCCGAGCACCAAAAGAGUCAUAGUCAAAUAAAACUUAAUAACUGCUGCCUUUCCUCUGUGUGAGUCUCUCCGGAUUUGAAAUCCAGUUGAAACCAGAUAUUUGCAUACGCUGGAUAAAGAGACACUCUUCUUUUUUUUUUUUUUUCUCACUGACCAAACCUUCCUUGCUUGUGUUCAGUUAAAAUAACCCAAAUUAUUUCUACUUUCCAAAUCCCAGAAAACUUUACGUGUUUUUGUAACUUUCCUUGAAUUCAAAAGCUUGGUCAGUUUCAGGGUUAACUGUCUUUUAAAAUGUACGACUUGGGUCAAACCGUUUGGGUCUCCUUCUAAUAGCCUCGGAUAGGAUAGCUGACAGAUUGGAGUUACCUGGAGGAACAUGUGGAAGUAUUUUAGGGCCACGUCUGAAACACAUUGAUGUUUUGC